rnacentral:misc_RNA from 1 species
GAUGAAGAACGUAGCGAAAUGCGAUAAGUAAUGUGAAUUGCAGAAUUCAGUGAAUCAUCGAAUCUUUGAACGCACAUUGCGCCCCCUGGUAUUCCGGGGGGCAUGCCUGUCCGAGCGUCAUUGCUGCCCUCAAGCACGGCUUGUGUGUUGGGCCUCCGUCCUCCUCCCGGGGGACGGGCCCGAAAGGCAGCGGCGGCACCGCGUCCGGUCCUCGAGCGUAUGGGGCUUCGUCACCCGCUCUUGUAGGCCCGGCCGGCGCUUGCCGACACAUCAAUCUUUUUUCCAGGUUGACCUCGGAUCAGGUAGGGAUACCCGCUGAACUUAAGCAUAUCAAUAGGCGGAGGA